GGGGGCGUGGUGACAACGGGAACACGCGGCCUUUGCAAGGCUGAGAUAGGGGUUCGAUUCCCCUCGCCUCCA
rnacentral:tRNA from 1 species